GACGAACGCUGGCGGCGUGCUUAACACAUGCAAGUCGAACGGAAAGGCCCUGCUUUUGUGGGGUGCUCGAGUGGCGAACGGGUGAGUAACACGUGAGUAACCUGCCCUUGACUUUGUGAUAACUUCAGGAAACUGGGGCUAAUAUCGGAUAGGAGCUCCUGCUGCAUGGUGGGGGUUGGAAAGUUUCGGCGGUUGGGUAUGGACUCGCGGCUUAUCAGCUUGUUGGUGGGGUAGUGGCUUACCAAGGCUUUGACGGGUAGCCGGCCUGAGAGGGUGACCGGCCACAUUGGGACUGAGAUACGGCACAGACACCUACGGGAGGCAGCAGUGGGGAAUAUUGCACAAUGGGCGGAAGCCUGAUGCAGCAACGCCGCGUGCGGGAUGACGGCCUUCGGGUUGUAAACCGCUUUCGCAUGUGACGAAGCGUGAGUGACGGUAAUGGGUAAAGAAGCACCGGCUAACUACGUG
rnacentral:rRNA from 1 species